GAUGAAGAACGUAGUGAAAUGCGAUAAGUAAUGUGAAUUGCAGAAUUCAGUGAAUCAUCGAAUCUUUGAACGCACAUUGCGCCCUCUGGUAUUCCGGGGGGCAUGCCUGUUCGAGCGUCAUUAUAACCACUCAAGCUCUCGCUUGGUAUUGGGGUUCGCGGUUUCGCGGCCCCUAAAAUCAGUGGCGGUGCCUGUCGGCUCUACGCGUAGUAAUACUCCUCGCGAUUGAGUCCGGUAGGUCUACUUGCCAGCAACCCCUAAUUUUUUUAAGGUUGACCUCGGAUCAGGUAGGGAUACCCGCUGAACUUAAGCAUAUCAAUAAGCGGAGGA
rnacentral:misc_RNA from 1 species